rnacentral:rRNA from 1 species
AUUGAACGCUGGCGGCAGGCCUAACACAUGCCAGUCGAACGGUAACAGGAAGAAGCUUGCUUCUUUGCUGACGAGUGGCGGACGGGUGAGUAAUGUCUGGGAAACUGCCUGAUGGAAGGGGAUAACUACUGGAAACGGUAGCUAAUACCGCAUAACGUCGCAAGACCAAAGAGGGGGACCUUCGGGCCUCUUGCCAUCGGAUGUGCCCAGAUGGGAUUAGCUAGUAGGUGGGGUAACGGCUCACCUAGGCGACGAUCCCUAGCUGGUCUGAGAGGAUGACCAGCCACACUGGAACUGAGACACGGUCCAGGCUCCUACGGGAGGCAGCAGUGGGGAAUAUUGCACAAUGGGCGCAAGCCUGAUGCAGCCAUGCCGCGUGUAUGAAGAAGGCCUUCGGGUUGUAAAGUACUUUCAGCGGGGAGGAAGGGAGUAAAGUUAAUACCUUUACUCAUUGACGUUACCCGCAGAAGAAGCACCGGCUAACUCCGUG